GUCAUCAAAUUGCCUAGAUCACCAUACGAGAUACGAGCAUACGACAUUCCUGAUGACAUCUUUUUUCUUCUUCGAGACGCUGUCCGAGAAGGUUACCUUUGCCAUUGGAUCAUGGCGGCUUUCUUUCCUGACGUUUUUCGUCAAUGCAUGGUGAAGUCUGAGCUUCUUCAUUGCAUUACGUGCACGUGAUCGCUGCUUUGUCAUGAAGAGGGUCUACUAAUUUGCAAGACAAUUGAGAUGAAAAGAGGAAAUAUGAAAAGUUACAGCCUGGUGAUGUUCAAGCUUUUCAUUGCGUUACGUGUACGUGAUCGUUGCCGUUUAAUGAAGGUUCUCUAAGAGGGUCUUCGCCCUCAUAGACUUGUUGCAGCGAGCUGGUGAAGGAUGUGGUGAGCUGUUGCAUGACAACCAUGUGCUGGUGUGGGGAAGUGCUGCAUGCUGUCUGUGGUUUCCAUCAUCAGUUAGAUGUUUAAGCUAAUUAUGUUGUUGCUCUGUGUAUACAGUUCAUGUUAAGGUGGUUUUCUUGCAGUGUGGUGGAAGGGAGUCCAAGUUGAGUUGAGCUGCAGCCUUGGAAGCAGUCUACAAUGCUCGUGUUAUUCCGAAAUGUAACAGCAAUGAAGACAUCUUGAAAUGGUCUUGAUGACGGUGUCGACGUUAAUGUGCAGUGGUUUUGCAAUCCGACUCCUGUUCAAGCUGUUGCCUUCCUGAAUUUUGCCGGAGUCUUUGAAGUAGCUGAUCCUGAAAUUAUGAUGAUGUGGUAAUCCUGGACUAGCUGUUGUUGGUGUCUUAAGUUACUGUGCUAAUUCAAUUCGGGUUGAUAAAAAUAUUAUAUCCAUAUAAUAUGUGAUUGUAGUAACCUUUAAAAGCUAUUUUGUUAUCCAUUAUGGGAUGUGACUUGUGAGCUGAUGUUAAUUUAAACAGAACUUGUGCUUAAUGACAUUUCCCUCACCCGUAUAUAUCGAAUAAUUCUUAAAUAAUUAGCUGUUAAAGUGAACUUGAAAUUUUCGUUGUACGUUGAAAACUUAUAUUUGAUAUUGUUUCAGAAUGAAUGUCGAAAGCAAUAAAAAUACAACUAAUUUCAUGAAACGAA